UAAAUUCCAAUAUUUUUUUAAUAUAUAUUUUUCAAUUCAUACAACAAGCAACAGUAAUGAACAAAAAAGGAUUUUCUGCAGGUCUUCAAAUAGUAAUAUUGGGUUCUAUAUCUCUAGUUUCUGUGAAUUCUACACAAUAUUAUUUUAAUUAUUAAAUAAUUUUUAGAAUGAUUAAGUAUUUAAAAUAAUAAUAAUAAAGGCGAGUAAUGCUUUUUUAUGUCUUUGCCUAGGCUCGUAAAGUAUGAAACUUGAGAUUCACUCCUAAUUACGUUUUACGUUAUUUUAGAACGCUGGUUUCAAUUAAUUGUGAUUAGUUUUAGCUCCUGUUUGACCCCCAUUAUUUGGAUUUAUAAUUGGAGGAAUAGUGAUUUUUUGAAAAAUGGAUGGUUGUAAAAGAAUGAAAAUUUUUCAAUUUACGUGUAAUAAUAUUUUAUUAAAAAUUGUGUGGUUGACAAUAAAAGAGAGAAAAAUUUAAAUUAAAUGAAUGAGUUUUAAAGGGAGCCAAACGGAGGCUUAAUCAUGACUUGCUGAUACCUUAUUAUACAAAUCCGCAAAAUGAGAACUUAAAAGAUGUUUAGUACCUUUAUUUUCAAAAAUAAGCCCCCGUUUGGUACCACUAAAAAUUAUGAUUAAAAUUUAAGUUAAAGUCAACAAUUAAUUGUAUCCACACACUUCAUAAGAAUCACCAACAACUUUUCAAUAGAACAUUUCAUUAUUAUUUUUUAUUAUAAAAUCACUAAAGAAUUGAUUUUAAUAUCCACCAAAGCUAAUUAUGUCUCCAAUCCAUGUAAAGAUUAUUGGCUGGUGUUUCACGUGGGUUGUCGCUAACAAUUAAAAAGGGAUCAGACGAUUGUGUAAGGAACAAAUCUCUUGAGACAAAGUCCCAAAAGGGAUGUUUUAUUGGUGAUGACUUUACAAUUGGAAUUUAAACAGAAUGUCUCCAAGGAGCGCAGGCACACGAGUACUGAAAAGAAAUAUUUUAAGUCUAAAUUAAGGAAUUGAAAUUACAUAUUCUCUGUUUGAGAGUGUUUGAUUCGGGGUCCUUUGCUCUAUGGCUUUUCUUCCUUUUAUAUUCCCUUGAUGAUCUCUUCGUGAUCAACCGCUUAAAAACCGCUUAAUUGCUUUAUAACUGCCCACUUCUUCAUGGUGGCCAACUUAUCGUGGAAGUGCCGUCCCUAACUGCUGCAACUAUUCUUUGUCGUUCAACCGUCUUCAACUGAACAUCCUUGAAUCGUGGAACGUGAUAAGAUUACCCAAUAACUGCUUCGAUAACUGCACUUUUGUAUAACUAUAACAUCUUAUGUUUGCUAAGAUCCUGGGCGAUUCGAAAUUUGGGCGAGAACAGGGUCAUAACUCUGGGCGACUGCAAGGCACUUCAUUUGCUUAGAUCUUAGGCGUCUUGCAAGUUUGGGCGAUGGUGUAACCGCGUUCGUGGGCUUCCACUGCAUUCAUUGAUAGCCCUAUUCGGGCCUUUAUCCUGAAUUGCCCAGUUGGGUUUCAUUCUUUGGGCUAUACGAUUUUGACUGUAUUUUUAGCGUGUCAACAGCUGGUUAGCUAUUGUAGAUUUUCAUUUUUAUCCUUUCUGUCACACCGCGGAAAAAUUUAUUCAAACAAGCAUUCAUUUGCAUGCAUGAACCAUAACUCCAAAAUUCUAAAUGCUGAAAAAAUAAAUAGUGCGGUGGAAGGAGGUGGGUCCCCACUGCAGUCCUGGUUACCACUUGAAAUUUGGGAAAAAAAGAAGAAGGAAUAUACUACUCGUACAUAAUGCGGUGUCUAUAACGGUGUUCAUCUUCUUUACAUAGAGGGGAAUUCACUUCGAAUAAAUUAUAUUUUAUUCGAAGUGGAUAUCCCUCCAUGUGAGAUAGAACACUGUUAUGAACACUCUGAUGUAUGUGUAAUAUGGCCCAAAAAACAUUUGUAACUUUUUAUUAUUAUUUAAUAUUAUUAUGUUUUUUUUCUUGUAAUUUUUUCCGCAACUAAAUUAAGUCUGUUGAAUCCGAGUCUUGGCUCCGUCACUGGUUAUCAUAAUAGAAUUCAAGAUCUUUCAUUACGAGAAUGACCGAAAAUUAAGAUCCAGUACAUAAUAACACUUUUCUUUGCAAGAUGAACAUACAUAUACAAAGGAAAAUAUUUAUUGAAUUCACUUUUCAUCGACAUUAUCUAUUAUUUGAGUUAGUUAAUUUGUACGAUCAGUUGCAAAAAUUUCUGAAUAUGUAUCUAAAUUUAAGCUGAAUUCCAUCCUUUUGAUAAAAGAAUAUCUUAGCCUUGUAAAAGGUUCAUUAGAUAUUUCUCUAGUGCAUCUCCAUCAUCGCAUUAUCGAUUGCCAUAUCAAGCAUUGUGAAGUCAAAUGAAAUAAUAAAGUAGUUUUAACUCUUUACUUAAUAAGGAAUGCAAUUAACGAUAAUAAAUUUAAGAUAAUGAUGCCUUUCCACUCCAAAAUGUCAUCAAAAGAGAGAUGGUACAUAAAUCAUUUAACUUGUUUAAUUCUCAAACUUAAUUAAGGGCUAGUUUGGGAGAGAUUUUUGUAAAUUAUUAUUUUUUAAAUCAUUUUCAACCCAACAUUUUAUGAAACUCACAACGUUCACUAUUUUUUAAUCACAGUUUCUCAAAAAAAUUUUCUUCACUUAAGAAAAAUCUCUCCCAAACGAGCUUUAAGUUUCUAAUUCCCAAUUAUACUAAAAUCAAAAGUUGUUUUUACCAUGCCUAGCUUGUCUUUCAUCAUCAAGAAAAUAAUGGCAUGUGAAUAUAUACUUGCAUAAAGACUCAUUUGAGGUUGCUUUCCAAUGGAAGUGCAGCUCAACAAGUGUAUCGGGUAAUAGCAAUUGAUAACUUGAUGGUGCCCAUACUUAGCCAAUUAUUUGUUUUUGUUUCCUCGAUUUUUCAAGGUCGACCAUACUUUUUGCGUUAUUUAGCACGAUUGAUCAAUAUUAUGAAAUAUAGUUAUUUAAAUAUAUUAUUAAACGUACUAAAUACUUUUCAAGUGUACUUUAUCGUUCACCAUAUUAAAUCAAAUAAUGCCAUUAGGGAAUUAUACUAUCUUUUCCUUCACAAACUUAACAAAAAAAGAAAAAGAAAAUGUGAAUAUGUUUUAGUUAGGUAGCCCGUAUUUCAUUUUACAAACAAGAAAGUUAAUGAUUAUUUUUAUUCUCUUUCUAAUAAAUAAAAAUAGAUCAUCAAGUUUUCAAAAAGAACAAUUUUUAAUCAUAAUAUGAGCAAAAUUUUAUUUUAUAUAUGUAAAUUCAUCAUUUCUUGCUACCGAAAAAAAAGAAGAAGAAGAAGAAGAAGUAAAAUUAUAGAUGUAGUUUUAGGGUUUUUGUAAAGAACCCUGAAAACUCACAUCUGACUUCAGUUUUCAACUCAAAAACAAUUAUCAAAAUGAAAUAAUUGAAUUAAUUAGGAAGGCAUACAUGGAGUAAUUAAUAAUUAAAGAACAAAAACUAAUGACAUAAAUUCCAAUAUUUUUUUUAAUAUAUAUCUUUCAAUUCAUACAACAAGCAACAGUAAUGAACAAAAAAGGAUUUUCUGCAGGUCUUCAAAUAGUAAUAUUGGGUUCUAUAUCUCUAAUUUCUGUGAAUUCUACACAAUAUUAUUUCACUCUAGUAAUCAAAGAUAUACAUAUAAUUAAACAAGAGAUCCCAGCAUUGGCAGUGACUCUAGUAACCUUUUAUCGAGCAAAU
rnacentral:lncRNA from 1 species